UCGACGAAACCAUAUUUGUUUGAGAUAUUCUGCCAAACAGUUGGCAUGCCUUUUGUAUUGUUCCACGGUUUGCAUAUGUUUGCUAUAUUUUUCAAGAAUGUCAUAUGUUAUGCAAUAUCAAGAGAACUCACACCAUGGAAAUGCUCUAGUAGACAAUGUAUGUGAAAUGUGGAAGCUGUCAUGCCAACGUUAAAUUCAUAUGGCCUCCAUUCCUUUAUUGCUAUUGGACCUGUCACUCAAUAAAAUCUGACCAUUCUUUGGCUUAACUUUCAGGGUGAUUGGAACGGUGCCGGUGCUCAUACAAAUUAUAGCACAAAAUCUAUGAGAACCGAUGGUGGAAUCAAUGUGAUCAAGAAGGCCAUUGAAAACCUGGGGCUGAAGCACAAGGAGCACAUUUCUGCAUAUGGAGAGGGCAAUGAGAGGCGUUUGACUGGCAAACAUGAGACAUCAGACAUCAACACAUUUUCCUGGGAUAUGUACAAGGUGGAUUCGGUGAAAAGCGUUUAGGAACUUCAAGCAAAUUCAAUUGGCAGGUGUCAAGCUAGACUCUGCAACCUUUGCCACGAUCCUCGCAGGUUGUGUGAAAUGGGAGCUUUGGAACAGGGCAAGGGCAUCCAUCAAAGCAUAAAAGAUAGAGGUUUUUUUGAGAUAUAGUUGCAACUGCUCUGGUAGACAUGAAUGGGACAUGUGAAACCAUAGACAAGCUACGCGAACUGUUUGACAAAAUGCUCCAAAGAAAUGUGGUUCCAUGGAAUGCGAUGAUUGUUGGAUUUGUUGACAAGACUGGAGAAUCUUCCAAGCAAAUUCUAUCAUUGUGGUGAUGUUUUCAGCUGAAUUCUGUCAGUUCUGGUAUAAAGCACAUUCAUUAACAUAAACA